rnacentral:rRNA from 1 species
ACAACUGUGAUGCCCUUAGUAAUGGCGAAUGAAAGGGGCCUAGUCCAGCACCGAACCGCUGGCAGUAAUGUCAUGUGGAAUGUGGUGUGUGAGAGAGCCUUAUCACUUGACGUUGAUCAGUCCAAGUUCACCUUGACAGGGACCAUUGCCCACGGAGGGUGAUAGGCCCGUACGACGUUCAACGCCUUGUGCCGGCAUCUUCUCUAGAGUCGAGUUGCUUGGGAGUGCAGCUCAAAGUGCGAGGUAAACUCCUCGUAAGACUAAAUAUGACCCCAAGACCGAUAGCGAACAAGUACCGUGAGGGAAAGUUGAAAAGGACUUUGAAGAGAGAGUUCAAGAGUACGUGAAACUGCAUAAUGGUAAACAGAGGCGUUCUCGAAGUUUGGAGCAGAGAUUCAGGUCUUUGACUAGUUCAAUGGCCGUAUUUCUCUGUGUCUGAACACAACGGGCCGUUAGUUUUGAUUAUGGGCUGUGGAUGAAGUUUGAGUUGUCUUUUGACUUUUCAAGCUCUGCAGAUUCCAAUUUUGAAACUUGCGGUGUGUUGUGCAUCUGAUGCACUGUUGUUGUGAGUAGGUCGGCGGCGUCUCUGACCCGUCUUGAAACACGGACCAAGGAGUCUAACAUGUGUGCAAGUCGCAGAGUUUACUAAACUCUUGGGCACAGUGAAAGCAAAGAAUACCGCUCGGUGUUUGAGGGAUGAUCAUUGACUUUCGAGUUUGAUGCGCAAUCCCGGCGUUUUGUAUCGACCUCGUUUCGUGCAGAACAGCAAGAGCAUACAUGUUGGGACCCGAAAGAUGCGUGAACUAUGCCUGGCCAGGUUGAAGUCAGGGGAAACUCUGAUGGAGGACCGUAGCGAUUCUGACGUGCAAAUCGAUCGUCGGAGCCGGGUAUAGGGGCGAAAGACUAAUCGAACCAUCUAG